rnacentral:rRNA from 1 species
CAGGUUUGAUCAUGGCUCAGGAUGAACGCUAGCUACAGGCUUAACACAUGCAAGUCGAGGGGCAGCAUGUUGGUUGCUUGCAACCAAUGAUGGCGACCGGCGCACGGGUGAGUAACGCGUAUCCAACCUACCCUUGUCCAUCGGAUAACCCGUCGAAAGGCGGCCUAACACGAUAUGCGGUUCACAGCAGGCAUCUAAGGUGAACGAAAUGUGAAGGAGAAGGAUGGGGAUGCGUCUGAUUAGCUUGUUGGCGGGGUAACGGCCACCAAGGCGACGAUCAGUAGGGGUUCUGAGAGGAAGGUCCCCCANAUUGGAACUGAGACACGGUCCAAACUCCUACGGGAGCA